GGCCGAUAUCUCUCAGAAGACCAACCUUCAAAAGGCUAUGGAUCUGUCAAACUAACUAAGCAGUCGCCUCCACCUCCAGACAAUAUGCUUGAAGACAUGAUAUUAGCGCAGUCUAGACAAUUUCAGAUUGAAAAAUAAGGAAGACGUCCUGGUUGUAAGUAUCCGCCGCCGCCUCCGUCGCCUCCUCCUCCUUUCGUUCCUCCGCCUCCGGAGUACAAAGCAUGCUGCCAAAAUAGUUGCUGUGCAAGGAAUAGCGUUUCCUUCUGCUGUUCAAGGCAAUGAUAGUGAUUGCAAGAGUCCUGUUCCGACUU